rnacentral:rRNA from 1 species
AUGGAUACUAGCAUUCUAGAUUCAGUUUUGCAUUGUGAUGAUUCUUCUGUGGAUGAACCAGAGCUACACUUAGUUACUUUUGAUAUUGAGGAGAUACCUUUAGUUGAUAUUGAUCAUGUGCUGCUAGAGCCAGAUAUGGAAAAGUUCACCUUUGAUGAUGUUAGCCACAUCGAUUCUUCAACGCUUGAGCCUGAGAUGGAAAUAUUCAUUGUUGAUUAUGAUGAGGUCACUUCAGAUGUCAAGGAGCAAAGCCCUACUAUUUCACCUGUUGAUACGAGCCCGGUGGAAGUUUCUACUACCAUGCCUUCCAUGGCAUCUUCAGUUGAGGUAGUCAUAAAACUUCUCCAAGGCCAUUUCAGGUUUACACUUGUGCACCAUUUAUGGCGAGUUGACCGAGUCCGAGAUGACAUUCCCUGGGAUCCUGGUGGAUUCACGGCAUGGUGA